GUUCAAAAAGUGGGGUUUUUAAAAAAAAUAACUAUAAAACACAAAUAAUAUUAUUAGUUAGACAACGUUUGAAACUAAUUUGGUUUCUAACCAUUCGAGUCAAGAGGACUCGAUUUUCAUCUCCAUGUAGGCCUGGAAAUUGAGUUCAUUGGACUCGAUUUCCUUGGUGAUUUCAUGUCCGUGUGCUGAAUGAAGAAAAUCGAGUAUGGGCUCGAUUUCUAUGAACGGAAAUCGAGUCUAAUGGACUCGAUUUCUAUGUACAGAAACCGAGUCCAUUAGACUCGAUUUCCAUGUACAGAAACCGAGUCUAACGGACUCGAUUUCCAAGCCUACGUGAAGAUGAAAAUCGAGUCCUCUGAACUCGAAUUGUUAGAAACCAAAUUAGUUUCAAACGUUGUCUAACUAAUAAUAUUGUUUGUGUUUUAUAGUUAUUUUUUUAAAAAUCCCCAAAAAGUGAAUAGAAAUGACAUAAAGCUUGACUGCUUUAUGAAGCAUGCUGAUGAUGAUGACGGAGUGGAGCUGGGUUCAGCAACUCAAAAACUGAAAGAUUCCAGAAAGAUCACCAGAAAGGAGGAAUGAUGGGUGUAGAAGUUUUGCUGUCACUGCAAGGAGUCAUUGGAUCCAUAGGAGGUUUCAAUAGUAAGCGACUAGCCCCAGAUGGAUGGUGCAGAAACGUGGACUCCCGUCUUGUAAAAAAACAAGAUGCACAACAGAUUUGGCAAAUUCAAUCCACUGUAAGGCUUCGCUUUAUGACAAUUGGGACAUCAUUCGUGGAGACGUAGUGGAAAAACAUUUUAGACCACUAAAAUCAUCCAAACAUUCUGUAUAAAUACAUGUUUUCCUCAAAGUGAAAUUCCAGAAUGGUUCAACCAUCAAUGCAUGGGCCCUUCUCUGUCUUUCCAGCGAGCUCAAAAUUUCAGUAUUGAUAGUGACCGUAGUAUUUUACUAUUUCCCUCCUAGCCUGCUAGAACAUAAAGUUGCAUGGUUUUGGUUAAAUUCUUCCAUACGGUUGGGAACCUUUGGUUGAUGACUACUUGUUUGUGCCUCACUCGCUAUGCAGAAAACUAAUAUUUAUAUGCAUUGGUUUAAUGAGAAAUUCUUGACCUCACUUUUAGUGUU